rnacentral:rRNA from 1 species
UACGUAGGGUGCAGGCGUUUAAUCGGAAUUACUGGGCGUAAAGCGUGCGCAGGCGGUUUGCUAAGACAGGUGUGAAAUCCCCGGGCUUAACCUGGGAACUGCGCUUGUUACUGGCAGGCUUGAGUGUGGCAGAGGGGGGUGGAAUUCCACGUGUAGCAGUGAAAUGCGUAGAGAUGUGGAGGAACACCGAUGGCGAAGGCAGCCCCCCUGGGCUAACACUGACGCUCAUGCACGAAAGCGUGGGAGC